AGUGGAAUUGCAGGGAUACAUGGUGAUUCUACGUUUAACUUUUUGAGAAACUGCCAGACUUUUUUCCAAAGUAGCUGCACUAUUUUUACAUUCCUACCAGCAAU
rnacentral:pre_miRNA from 1 species